rnacentral:rRNA from 1 species
GAUGAACGCUGGCGGCGUGCUUAACACAUGCAAGUCGAACGGAAAGGCCCCAGCUUGCUGGGGUGCUCGAGUGGCGAACGGGUGAGUAACACGUAAGUGAUCUGCCCUGCACUGGGGGAUAAGCUUGGGAAACUGGGUCUAAUACCCUAUAGGACCGCAUCGUGGUUGGUGUGGUGGAAAGGUUUUUCUGGUGUGGGAUGAGCUUGCGGCCUAUCAGCUUGUUGGUGGGGUAAUGGCCUACCAAGGCGGCGACGGGGUAGCCGGCCUGAGAGGGUGUGCGGCCACAUUGGGACUGAGAUACGGCCCAG